CCUACGGGUGGCAGCAGUGGGGAAUAUUGCACAAUGGGGGAAACCCUGAUGCAGCGACGCCGCGUGAGUGAAGAAGUAUUUCGGUAUGUAAAGCUCUAUCAGCAGGGAAGAAAAUGACGGUACCUGAUGAAGAAGCCCCGGCUAACUACGUGCCAGCAGCCGCGGUAAUACGGAGGGGGGAAGCGUUAUCCGGAUUUACUGGGUGUAAAGGGAGCGUAGACGGUGAUGCAAGUCAGAAGUGAAAGCCCCGGGCUCAACGCCGGGACUGCUUUUGAAACUGUGUGUCUGGAGUGCAGGAGAGGUAAGCGGAAUGCCUGGUGUAGCGGUGAAAUGCGUAGAUAUCAGGAGGAACACCAGUGGCGAAGGCGGCUUACUGGACUGUAACUGACGUUGAGGCUCGAAAGCGUGGGGAGCGAACAGGAUUAGAUACCCCAGUAGUC
rnacentral:rRNA from 1 species